rnacentral:SRP_RNA from 1 species
ACAGGCUGGCAACGGAGCAGGUCAUGGAGCCGGCUACGGAGCAGGC